rnacentral:tRNA from 1 species
ACUCGGUUAGCUCAGUCGGUAGUAGCGACGUCUUGAUAAGGCGUAGGUCGCUGGUUCAAGUCCAGCACCGAGUACCA